CCUACGGGUGGCUGCAGUGGGGAAUAUUGGACAAUGGGCGAAAGCCUGAUCCAGCCAUGCCGCGUGUGUGAAGAAGGCCUUCGGGUUGUAAAGCACUUUCAGUGGGGAAGAAAGCCUUGGGGCUAAUACCCUCGAGGAAGGACAUCACCCACAGAAGAAGCACCGGCUAACUCCGUGCCGCAGCCGCGGUAAUACGGAGGGUGCGAGGCGUUAAUCGGAAUUACUGGGCGUAAAGCGCGCGUAGGCGGUCUGAUAAGCCGGUUGUGAAAGCCCCGGGCUCAACCUGGGAACGGCAUCCGGAACUGUCAGGCUAGAGUGCAGGAGAGGAAGGUAGAAUUCCCGGUGUAGCGGUGAAAUGCGUAGAGAUCGGGAGGAAUACCAGUGGCGAAGGCGGCCUUCUGGACUGACACUGACGCUGAGGUGCGAAAGCGUGGGUAGCAAACAGGAUUAGAUACCCGUGUAGUC
rnacentral:rRNA from 1 species